AUGUUCAUCAGGAGUAAACGAGUCUCUAUCUUUUUUCAAGGUGUUGUUUCUUCUACUCCUGCUACUCUCAACUUUUCCAGAGUCACUAGUACUUGCUGUGCAACGAUUUAAAAAGGGUUUAACGUGGCUGCUCUUCAACUUUCUUAAAGAUUCCAAUUCCGUUGAGAGUCCUGAUAUUUCCUUGUUUAAUCUUUUUUAUGUUUAUCUUCUCAUUUGUCUUUUCUACUUCUUCUUGUUUACUUCUCAAUUUCUUAGUGUAGUCAGUCUCCAUUUUAUUAAAUUGAUUCCACACAAAAUUCUUUUCUUGCAAAAGCGCUAAUA
rnacentral:lncRNA from 1 species